AACGAACGCUGGCGGCAUGCCUAACACAUGCAAGUCGAACGAGAUCUUCGGGUCUAGUGGCGCACGGGUGCGUAACGCGUGGGAAUCUGCCCUUUGGUUCGGAAUAACAGUUGGAGACGACUGCUAAUACCGGAUGAUGACGAAAGUCCAAAGAUUUAUCGCCAGAGGAUGAGCCCGCGUAGGAUUAGCUAGUUGGUGUGGUAAAGGCGCACCAAGGCGACGAUCCUUAGCUGGUCUGAGAGGAUGAUCAGCCACACUGGGACUGAGACACGGCCCAGACUCCUACGGGAGGCAGCAGUGGGGAAUAUUGGACAAUGGGCGAAAGCCUGAUCCAGCAAUGCCGCGUGAGUGAUGAAGUCCUUAGGGUUGUAAAGCUCUUUUACCCGGGAUGAUAAUGACAGUACCGGGAGAAUAAGCUCCGGCUAACUCCGUGCCAGCAGCCGCCGUAA
rnacentral:rRNA from 1 species